rnacentral:lncRNA from 1 species
AUCAAAAACAAAUGAAGAACCGCUAUGAUUAUCUAAAAUCAAAAUUUGCUGCUUGGUCAAAGCUUAAGAACAAAACCGGCAACGUUUAUAAUCCUGUAACAAACACCUUUAACUUGUCAGAAGAAGAAUGGCAACUAGAGAUAAAGUCAAACAAAUACGUAGAAGCUUUGAGAAGCGCGCCACUUUCUUUCCCCGAGCUUUGUGUUCAACUGUUUGAGGGAUCUACUUCGAACGGCUUUGACAGUUGGGGGCCAUCU